rnacentral:rRNA from 1 species
UACGGGGGGAGCAAGCGUUGUUCGGAUUUACUGGGCGUAAAGGGCGCGUAGGCGGCGCAACAAGUCACUUGUGAAAUCUCCGGGCUUAACCCGGAGCGGCCAAGUGAUACUGUCGUGCUAGAGUGCGGAAGGGGCUACUGGAAUUCUCGGUGUAGCGGUGAAAUGCGUAGAUAUCGAGAGGAACACCGAUGGCGAAGGCAGUGUUCUGGGCCAGUACUGACGCUGAGGAGCGAAAGCGUGGGGAGCAAACAGG